rnacentral:rRNA from 1 species
UACGUAGGCAGCGAGCGUUGUUCGGAAUUACUGGGCGUAAAGAGUGUGUAGGCGGUGCUCUAAGUUCGGUGUGAAAUCUCCCGGCUUAACUGGGAGGGUGCGCCGGAAACUGGAGUGCUCGAGCGUGGGAGAGGAAAGCGGAAUUCCUGGUGUAGCGGUGAAAUGCGUAGAUAUCAGGAGGAACACCUGCGGUGUAGACGGCUUUCUGGACCAUUACUGACGCUGAGGAGCGAAAGCGUGGGGAGCGAACAGG